rnacentral:rRNA from 1 species
GGGCCCGCACAAGCGGUGGAGCAUGUGGUUUAAUUCGAUGCAACGCGAAGAACCUUACCUACUCUUGACAUCCAGAGAACCUUUUAGAGAUAGAAGGGUGCCUUCGGGAACUCUGAGACAGGUGCUGCAUGGCUGUCGUCAGCUCGUGUUGUGAAAUGUUGGGUUAAGUCCCGCAACGAGCGCAACCCCUUAUCCUUGUUUUGCCAGCACUUCGGGUGGGAACUCCAGGGAGACUGCCGUGAUAAACCGGAGGAAGGUGGGACGACGUCAAGUCAUCAUGGCCCUUACGAGUAGGGCUACACACGUGCUACAAUGGCAUAUACAGAGGGCUGCCAACUCGCGAGAAUGAGC